AUAGCCGUAAAAGCCGUUCGACAACAUCCGAGAUUGUGCUCGAUAGCAAUCGGAUUCGGGAUCAUUAAAGUCGAAGUCAUCUACACUAUCAAAGCCUCCAUUUUGGUAUAAUUUUUGGUUGAACUUUGAAAUGGCAUGUAUAGGACUACCCCUUGUUGGUUUAAAUAUGUUGUGAUGUAUAUGUGUACGGCCAUGCGAAAAUGGCUCGUAAAAGUGAAGUACGAACUUAGACUAUUUGCGGUUUGUAUAUAUAUAUAUAUGGUGUCAUGAUGUGAUCAUGGAUUGGAAA